GGCAGUGUAGCUUAGUGGUUAAGGAGCUGGACUCGUGACCGAAAGGUUGUUGGUUCGAUUCCCCGCUGGGG
rnacentral:tRNA from 1 species